AGAGUUUGAUCCUGGCUCAGGAUAAACGCUGGCGGCGUGCCUAAUACAUGCAAGUUGAUCGAUAGAAGUCCAGCUUGCUGGACGGAAAUAGAGGCGAACGGGUGAGUAAUACGUAAGCAACCUGCCCACGAAGACCGGGAUAAUCCCUGGAAACGGGGACUAAGACCGGAUAGGUACACAGACCGCAUGAUCAGUGUAUUAAAGGAGAGAGACACUGGUGGAUGGGCUUACGGUGCAUUAGCUGGAUGGUGAGGUAACGGCCCACCAUGGCGAUGAUGCAUAGCCGGGCUGAGAGGCUGAACGGCCACAUUGGGACUGAGACACGGCCCAGACUCCUACGGGAGGCAGCAGUAGGGAAUUUUCGGCAAUGGGGGCAACCCUGACCGAGCAACGCCGCGUGAGUGAUGAAGGUCUUCGGAUUGUAAAGCUCUGUUGUAAGGGAAGAACGGCAUCUAGAGAAUAGGUGAGUGACGGUACCUUACCAGAAAGCUACGGCUAACUACGUGCCAGCAGCCGCGGUAAUACGUAGGUAGCGAGCGUUAUCCGGAAUUAUUGGGCGUAAAGGGUGCGUAGGCGGCCUGUUAAGUUUAUGGUGAAAGCGUGGGGCUCAACCCCAUAAAGCCAUAGAUACUGGCAGGCUAGAGUACUGGAGAGGGUAGUGGAAUUCCAUGUGUAGCGGUAAAAUGCGUAGAUAUAUGGAGGAACACCGGUGGCGAAGGCGGCUACCUAGACAGAGACUGACGCUGAGGCACGAAAGCGUGGGGAGCAAAUAGGAUUAGAUACCCUAGUAGUCCACGCUGUAAACGAUGAAUGCUAGGUAUCGGGGCGACCCGGUGCCGAAACUAACGCGAUAAGCAUUCCGCCUGUGGAGUAUGCACGCAAGUGUGAAACAUAAAGGAAUUGACGGGGGCCCGCACAAGCGGUGGAGUAUGU
rnacentral:rRNA from 1 species